GAGUUUGAUCUUGGCUCAGAUUGAACGCUGGCGGCAUGCCUUACACAUGCAAGUCGAACGGCAGCAUGAUCUAGCUUGCUAGAUUGAUGGCGAGUGGCGAACGGGUGAGUAAUACAUCGGAACGUGCCCUGUAGUGGGGAUAACUAGUCGAAAGAUUAGCUAAUACCGCAUACGACCUGAGGGUGAAAGUGGGGGACCGCAAGGCCUCAUGCUAUAGGAGCGGCCGAUGUCUGAUUAGCUAGUUGGUGGGGUAAAGGCCCACCAAGGCGACGAUCAGUAGCUGGUCUGAGAGGACGAUCAGCCACACUGGGACUGAGACACGGCCCAGACUCCUACGGGAGGCAGCAGUGGGGAAUUUUGGACAAUGGGCGAAAGCCUGAUCCAGCAAUGCCGCGUGUGUG
rnacentral:rRNA from 1 species